rnacentral:lncRNA from 1 species
CCCCACAACUGCCUCACAAGCAUCCCAGAGUCCAGUCAGCAGACAGCAGAAGAGACUGUCAGCAGACCACCUUGGAGGGGAUGCUUGGAGCUGCCUAACGUGUGAUUCAAAGAUGAAUUCCAUGUGUUUGGAGAAGAAGCCCUAGCCUCAACACAAAGGUUGGCCACAUUCCAGCCAAGGUAGCACGGAGUGAAGGCCCGUGGAGGGAGAGCUGGGCUUUUCUGAACUACUUCAGUACACCUUGCUGUGCCUUGGCCUGCCGUGUUUCAUCCCCAUGGCUGUCCUCAGUGAUGUGCAUGGUCACUGCUCCCUUCACCACUGAGAAGACGGGCACAGGACAGUCAGGGGAUGUGUCCAAGGUCCCACAGCAGGAAGGGCUGGAGCCAGAAUGUGGUCUGAGAGGCUGGAUAUACAAAGAGACAAUGGCAUGACCAUCUGUACAAAUGGAACUAUGGCCCACAACCUGCAGCAGCCAGCCCAGGAAGCCAACCCGUCACCUGCAGCAGCCAGGAUGGAUGCUGGCCUGCCCUCACUGAUACUCAAGUCUAGUUUUAUAUGGCUCCAAACGCCUCCACCAUGAGCUCAAGGCAGUGAGACUGACUGAAAAACCCUCUCUAUUACAGACCACAACAUUGAACCCAACAUCCCCCUAAGUAGGUUGUACUCACAUCAUUGGUCUUAUGGGGAAAUUUUAAGACCUCCCACUUGUAAGGUUUUAUAGCCCUCUAUGGAAUAUUGAAGAAAGAGUAAAAUGCAUCCAAAAAAAAAAAAAAACACUAAACUGGAUAAAUUCUAAGGCCUCUUCAGGUCUUAAGAUGGCCAUUUUCUAGGUCCUCUUGCUGCAGCAGUGAAAUCCACAAACACGGACAAGUCAGUCAGUUACGUGCCUUUCAGAGAAAACUUCUGACUUAGGAAUUCCAGCUAUUUGGCCCAACCCAUAUUAGAUUGUGUUAUAAAGACAUGGUAAAUUACAUCACGAAGGGAAGAGCAGAGGAAACAUAAUAUUCCUUCAAGACCCAUCAGCUCAGAUGUUAGCAGAACACCCCUAAGGAGGAAAACAAGAAAUUUUGGGUUUGAACUUGGUACUUCCCAGCAGCCCUGGGAGUGGGGUCAGAAGCCCUGCUGGGGGCCAAAGAACUCUGAGGAUCAAAGAUGUUGAGCAUCACCUUAGAGGCCAAAGAUCAGAACAGUGGAGGUGGCCUUUGAAGCCCAACCUGUCUUUCACCAGAGAGUGAGAACGGCCUCUAUUUCCAGGAAGCUCACUGCAGCAAUAAUCAUGAUGCUCUGAGCCUGACAAGGUGAGAAUUUACUUUCAGCACCUGCAAUAGUUUCCUAUUAAAGUUACAUAUGAAACCCUGCCGUCUUGUACCAACUAAUGUUCACACCAGCGUUCCUAUUUUCAAGAUAAAUUGCAAAAUAAAAACUCUUGUUUUCGUUAGCAAAAGAAAACUUCUUUAGGAGGAUAAAAGGGAGAUGAAGAAACAGAAAACACAUCAGCUCUCCAUCCAGAUUACAGAAAGCAGAAAACAUCCUGAAGUGAAUAACAUAGGAAUCGCUCUUUUUCCCCCCUGAGAUAGCAGGUUACUUAUGAGAAACAAGCUUGAAAUCUCUGCACCUGGACCAGCUUCCAGAGGCUUUUGUCCUGACCAGCUGGCUUUGGGGAAGUAAAGGAAACCAGAGAAGAAGAGGCUGAAAGAAUUGGUUUCCACCGUGACCUUUGAACCCUCGGGCGAGUUGUCAGCCUCACUGAGGAUGAGUGUACUCCAUAUCAAGUGAGGUCACUUUACUCGCAAGCUUGUUGUGAGGACUGAAUGAAACCUUUUCUUUUUUCUUGGAGUUUCAGAGCAACGUCCCUGAGCCCAGCCCCACACUGGCUUGAGCCCUGUCGUCGGUCAAGACACGGUGCUUUCUCCCCUCCCCUCUGCACUCCAGCUUACUCUGCAGUCAGGAGGUGGCACCACGAUCCCCUUUAAGACUUUGCCACUUGGGCCAGCUGCGCCCCUGUGAAAUUCCCUGUUUCUAUUGCAGGCCACAAGGACGAGCUGAGAAAUGGCUUCCAGUCACCAUCUAGAUUAGAAAGCCUAUAUUUCAAAUAUAGAUAUAUCAAUUAUGCCUGUAAAAAGACAUUAAAUCCCACAGGGCUGUAAUUCCUAGACUCUACGAAUUUCAUCUUGCACCAAAUUUUAUUAUUUCAUUUAUAAUUCGGAUUCUUCAAAUCUAAGAGUGCCUGGCUCAAAAUUAAAAUACCUACAACUAUGCCAAAACUGGACUCUUUAAUUGCCUUACUGGAACCAGUAGCUGAUUCAAAGCAAAACGAAACAAAAUUCCUCCUUUCUCUGAUUUAGUGAAUCAAUGAUCUAACUGAACUCAUUUUUGGACUGAGUUUGCGGCACUUGCAGCCCUGAGGGACACAUUCCCCCACCACACUGAGCCUGCACUCCCAUCAAUGCAAAUGAACAUUUUGCUUAUUCAGAUUGGGGGGGUGAAGGAAGUCACAAAAGGGUUAAUACAUAUGGCAUUUCAUUGUAAUAUGUACUCACUACUAACUAAAUUAAAAGAGAUGUGAGUUAUUAAAAACUCCAUCUUAAGAAAGUAACAGAAAUCAGAGUUCAGAUUCGUUGUUACUGAGUUUCCAACCAACACCUGUGAGUUAAACCUACGGCCACCCUGAAAACGGUUCAUAUUUUCAAAAGCUUCAUCGAAGAUGAGCUGCACUAAAGAUUCAUAUUACAUAUCAUGCUGCAAUAAGAAAAUCAAAUAAGGCCUUUCCAUAUUCAAUAAUAAAGUUUAAAGAAAAGUAAUAUUUGUUUAGCCAGUUAGCCAGAAAUUAGAUGUAUCAGAAUACAUCAUUCUUUGAGCAUUUUAGAAAAAUCAGGGUAUUUC